rnacentral:lncRNA from 1 species
AGGAGAGGAAAAUGAGCAAGAAAUCAUGAACUUUUAAAUCCAAAUGAAACUCUUCUCUUCCUCUUCUUAUGCGUGUCUUCUCUUCUUCUCCUUCUGUUCAAUCUUUCAACUUGUCCUCUUCUUCUUUUCUAUUCGAUCAUCAUCAUCAUCAUUUCAAUUAUCAUCAUCCCAACCAUUAUUAAAUCCUCGUGUCAUAAUGAGUAGGUUACACAACCUCUAAGUUCUACAUUGUGAUGAAUCCUUCUCCAAAGAUUCCCAAAAAGCAGCUUAUUGAGGAUGACAUCAUCAAUCAUCGUCUUUUUUCGAGAUAGAAACACAACAACAUAGAGAGAAAGUAAGUAGUAAAUAUACUAAUUAUUUGUUUGUGUGAUGUAAUUCUAUUCAACAUAGUACUUUUUAUAUUACCGACAUACAAUUUUACCAUAACUAUAAUUGUUUCGCAUAAAAAGAAAAUCCUUUUCGCCCAAGGAAAUCAUGAUUAACUUUCAUUAAUUCUCUCAUUCAAACUAUUGAUCAAGACACCUGAAACGACAAGGAAAUAACAGGCCUGGCGCAAAACGACCAGACCGUUGCGUGUUAUGGUUGUUUACCAACACAAACACUUUAAUACAUACAUUAAAAAAACAAGUGCAUGCUUGGGACAAAUCGUUUUGAUAUUAAUCAAAUAAUUCCAAAUAAAAUCGAAAAGAUCAAUGUAGAUCGGCAGAUAUGAGAACUUCCAUUAAUCUUGAUCAAUAUCAUCUCACGGAAGCCAAUAAAGUUACAAGAAUUUCAGGGUCUAAUCUCAAUUAUGAUUGGUUUUCAAGACGAGAUACAACUCCACCUGCUCUCGACAUCGAUAUUCUUUCUCUGAAGCCAAUUACAAUCUCAGUCAUAAUUCCUCUCUAUUCAUCCUUAGUAAUUGAGCAAAUCUCUAUAAUAAGACAAGAGCCGUCAACGCUAUAAAAACAAAUUUCACAUCGUCUUAAAAUAAAAUAAAAAUAAAAAAAAUAUACUAGAUCGUUGUCAGCUCAUUGGUCGAGUGAGUAAAAAAUGAUAACCAAUCACCCUCAACCAUCAACACCAAUGGCUUCCUUGAUAAGCAGAAACUAGUACAUAAUUGAUUAGUUACAAAACUUAAGGCCAAAGGCUUUAACAUACAUUAAAUUAGAACUGAUUUGAUUUGUGGCGACGUGUGUCUUUUGUUCUCAAGAAGAAGUUUAAACAAGUAUUUCCAUAGAUUCAAAAUUCAAACUCAGAUGCCAUCCCAACUACCAACUCAUCAAUAAAUUACAAAAGAAUUACAAGUGUAUUGCAUUCCUUCUUCGCUGACUAGUAUGCGCAAUUCUAAUUAAUUAUCCUUUCUGUACGAUUAUACGUACGCGCGCUGUCCUGGUAGCCCAAUUUUUUUUUUAACAUAAAUCCAUCAUCACAGUUCAUUUUUAAUUUGUGAUUUUAACGGUUUACAAUUAUUCAAAUAUUAAAUUUCUAUUUCACAUUUUAUUUUUGAUCUCAUAUGUCUUCUCAAUUUGACAAAAGAUUUUGCUUUCUCAAGUUGACAAAGGAACUUUAGCAAGCUAAGGGAGCAGCUCAGAGAGCAAAAGAAGAAGACGAAGGAAACACAACUCUGAAAAAAUGCAGUAAGAUAACAAAAUCCCGAUGCUUCAAAACAAGACUUGAAACAUUCUGCAACUAAAAAACCAAACAAAACACCAUGUAUAACACCCCAAAGUGACAGCAAAAAACAGCAGCAACAAUUUGUUAAACCACAUGAAAUUUUUUAUUUGAAAUCACAUGAAAUUUUGGAUCAAUUGCAAUCCAAUUUCAGAUCGCAAACUGAAAUAAAAAAUAAAAUGUGAAAUAGAAAUUUAAUAUUUGAGUAAUUGUAAACCGUUAAAAUUCGAAUAAUUAUGAACCGUCGAGAUCGCAAACUGAAAAUGGACGUUGGUGAUGAAUUUACAUUACCAAAAAAAACUGGAUACAUCGAAAGUUUCGGUAUACCAGAUAUACCGAAGAAGAAUUCACCCAUUAACUAUCUUAUCUCUUGUACAUGUUUUUUUCUUUAUUUCCUAAGAAUUGUUCAUUAGAGAUGUGGCAAAUGUUUAUUUUUGUCACAAGUUUUGAAAUUGCUAUAGAAAUCAUAUUUCAUACUCGGAUUCUGACCUGGUUCGUCGGAUUUCAAAGGGAGCCGCUUGCGGUUUGCUUCUCUCCUCUUCUUUCAAAGUCAUCUACCUCCUUGUUCCACUCUUUGUGCAAUGAUCCGAAGAUGUUGUGGUUUCCUCAUAUGGGCCCAGAUGUUUGUGGUUGAGUUUGCAGCAGAGACGUUUCCUCUUGUCAAAAGGUUGUCAUCGUUCAUCUUCCCUCUCGCUCCUUGCCUCAUUUUCCGACAAUUUUCCGGCGGGAUGAGCCUCCGGUGUGCUGACUGAAGACUGUUGGUGGCGGCUGCUUGUUUGUGGAAGAUAGAUGUAGGGUUUGUUGUUGGCUUAUUUGUUGUGCGUUUGUGUUCACUUUCUGGACUUUGAUUAUGUCCUGUUCUAUUUUGUCUUUCUAUUGGGUUUUUAACCUAUUUUUUGUAAUCCUUUUCAAAUUUUAAUAGCAAUAUUAAAAGUUGACCUGUAUAAGCAGAGAAACACAAACUUAUCC